CAGUAGCCGCGGGAAUACAGAGGGUGCGAGCGUUAAUCGGAUUUACUGGGCGUAAAGCGUGCGUAGGCGGCUUCUUAAGUCGUAUGUGAAAUCCCUGAGCUUAACUUAGGAAUUGCAUUCGAUACUGGGAAGCUAGAGUAUGGGAGAGGAUGGUAGAAUUCCAGGUGUAGCGGUGAAAUGCGUAGAGAUCUGGAGGAAUACCGAUGGCGAAGGCAGCCAUCUGGCCUAAUACUGACGCUGAGGUACGAAAGCAUGGGGAGCAAACAGGAUUAGAUACCCCCGUAGUCCCUGUCUCUUAUAC
rnacentral:rRNA from 1 species